rnacentral:rRNA from 1 species
GACGAACGCUGGCGGCGUGCCUAAUACAUGCAAGUAGGACGCAGUUGCGAACGGGUGAGUAACGCGUCGGUAACUGCCUAUUAGAGGGGGAUAACUAUUGGAAACGAUAGCUAAUACCGCCUACUGGUAGAUGGACCUGCGUUGUAUUAGCUCGUCGGUUGGGUAAUGGCCUACCUAGGCGACGAAUCAUAGCCGAGCUGGGAGGGUGGUCGGGCAAACGUGGACUGGGGCACGGCCCCGAACUCUACGGGAGGUAGCAGUAGGGAAUCUUCGGCAAGGGGGUGAACCCUGACCGAGCAACGCCGCGUGAGUUAAGAAGGUUUUCGGAUCGUAAAGGUCUGUUUUUAGGGAAGCGGUACUUAACCAAGAAGGGACGGCUAACUACGUGCCAGCAGCCGCGGUAAUAC